UUCGGAAUUCAGUGAUCCUAUGCUGCCGAGAAAAGCCUCUAGUGAGUUCAUACACGGCCCGUACCCCAAACCGACACAGGUGAUCAGGUAGAGAAUACCAAGGCGAUCGAGAGAACUGUGGUUAAGGAACUCGGCAAAAUGCCCCCGUAACUUCGGGAGAAGGGGGACCAUGCCCGGUGAACAUCUUCACGGUGGGAGCUGGGUGUGGUCGCAGAGACCAGAGAGAAGCGACUGUUUACUAAAAACACAGGUCCGUGCGAAGACGUAAGUCGAUGUAUACGGACUGACGCCUGCCCGGUGCUGGAAGGUUAAGAGGACCGGUUAGCCGUAAGGCGAAGCUGAGAAUUUAAGCCCCAGUAAACGGCGGUGGUAACUAUAACCAUCCUAAGGUAGCGAAAUUCCUUGUCGGGUAAGUUCCGACCUGCACGAAUGGCGUAACGACUUCUCUGCUGUCUCGACCACAGACUCGGCGAAAUUGCACUACGAGUAAAGAUGCUCGUUACGCGCGGCAGGACGAAAAGACCCCGGGACCUUUACUAUAGCUUGGUAUUGGCGUUCGAUUCGGUUUGUGUAGGAUAGGUGGGAGACUGUGAAGCAUGCACGCCAGUGUGUGUGGAGUCGUUGUUGAAAUACCACUCUGAUCGUAUUGGACGUCUAACCUCGGCCCAUGAUCUGGGUUAGGGACAGUGCCUGGUGGGUAGUUUAACUGGGGCGGUUGCCUCCUAAAGAGUAACGGAGGCGCCCAAAGGUUCCCUCAGCCUGGAUGGCAAUCAGGUGUUGAGUGCAAGUGCACAAGGGAGCUUGACUGUGAGACUGACACGUCGAGCAGGGACGAAAGUCGGGACUAGUGAUCCGGCACCGGCAAGUGGAAGCGGUGUCGCUCAACGGAUAAAAGGUACCCCGGGGGUAACAGGCUGAUCUUCCCCAAGAGUCCAUAUCGACGGGAUGGUUUGGCACCUCGAUGUCGGCUCGUCGCAUCCUGGGGCUGGAGUAGGUCCCAAGGGUUGGGCUGUUCGCCCAUUAAAGCGGCACGCGAGCUGGGUUUAGAACGUCGUGAGACAGUUCGGUCUCUAUCCGCCGCGCGCGUAAGAAACUUGAGGAAGGCUGUCCCUAGUACGAGAGGACCGGGACGGACGAACCCCUGGUGUGCCAGUUGUUCCACCAGGAGCAUGGCUGGUUAGCUACGUUCGGAAGGGAUAACCGCUGAAAGCAUCUAAGCGGGAAGCCUGUUCCAAGAUGAGGUUUCUCACCACCUUGCGUGGUUAAGGCCCCCUACAGACCAUGGGGUUGAUAGGCCGGAACUGGAAGCGCAGCAAUGCGUGGAGGUGACCGGUACUAAUAGGCUGAGGGCUUU
rnacentral:rRNA from 1 species